UUUGCUUUUCAGUCAUUUGGCUAAGAUCAAGUGUAGUAUCUGUUCUUAUGAGGAAUAAAUCUACUGGGUGCCAUAGGAAAUUAUAAUAAUCAAUAGGGUAAUGAGAUUAAUAAAACACUAUUU
rnacentral:snRNA from 1 species